UCAUCCCUCAUUGUUUCUAGCUUAUCAGCCUCUCACCAAAACCUCAGAAAUCAUCAUUUUGGAACAUUUCAAGAGAGAAACAGACCUGCAAAUUGAGUUGGGAAAUAUCAUGAAGAUGAAAAGUUCUAAAGUUGCAGAUUCUAAGAAAAGAUUAUCAUGUAAUAAUAAAGGAUUUAGUGGGUUUCUCAGAGAAGGAAGAGGCAGGCUUUACCUCAUAAAAAGAUGUGUUGUCAUGCUUCUCUGCUGGAGUGACUAAUUUAGAGGUUUCUACAUCUUCUUCUUCUUCUUCUUUGGAUGAUACUUUAUAAACUCUUUCCUUUAACUUCUCGUUCUGCUCCAAAAAAGGUUAUUAUGUCAAGAAGGAUUGGCUCGUCUAUAACAUAAAUGGUUAUUUGAGCUUAAUCCAACUCCUACAAACUUCCCCAAGUUUUGGGGUAAAGCAGAGAUUAUUGUUUUUUUGUUUUUUUCAUAUUGCUCAGGUAUCUCCUAUUGGAUUAAAACUAAUUCUGUUUGCACCGAGUCCUCGCAACGGGUAUUGUCUCCAUCUAUGAAGAUCUAACAAUCGACCUCACUUAAGAGAUAAGAGUAUCGAACCACUCAUACCAAACACCCGUUAGAGCAGAGAUGAUUAUUUUGAUUUGCAUGUGCUUAUUCAAACCAAGAGAAUUUUAUUUGAUCAUCCCAAUUUGUAUGUAAUUAGUCACACUAAGCUUCUUUAAAAUUGCUGUGGUGAAUGGAUAGUUGGUUGCUCUUUGCAUAUAAGCAAUUAUCUUUGUUUAGUUCUUCUUGGGUGUUUGAGAAAUCAAUCUUAAAUUAGAUCAUAGAUAGGGAAUUCAACUAACAACUAACUCUCUUUCCCACCUCUCUUUCUUUAUAUUUAGUUGAAUUGAUUUGUUGAGAUUCUAAUUCUCAAGACUAAUCACAAAAUAUGCUCUUAUCAUAUCUAGGAGAAGGAGAAUU
rnacentral:misc_RNA from 1 species